GUGAAGAAUCAGGAUCGGAUUUCCACCCCAAUUGAAUGAAUAUCUCAAUAAACUUAUCCUCCAAAUCCCUCUCUCUCUACAUUUUCAAAUUUUGAAUUCCUAAAAGUCUGAAAAGAGACAAGCGGGAGAUAGAGAGAGAGAACGAGAAAGAGCGUGCGUGUGUGUGAGAGAGAGAGAGAGAGACGAUGGAGCAGGAGAGCCAGCCACCACAGUCACUGAAACAGUUGACAGACGACGGCUAGGUUUCACGGCUAACCCCGACGACUCUGGUAAGUUGUUUAGUUACCCUUAUGGCUUUCGUACAUCCAAUUCGAACCUAGAUCCGACUUCUAAUGUUUAACUUUGGUGAUCUGGAGACCCAGAGCAGCUAAAAGGGGAUUACUAGUGGUAUUAUUUGAUAUGUUAUUUUUCUUUGUUUAUUAAGAACUCCAAUCGUGUUUUGAGUUUGUGUAUUGACUUUGUGCCAUGCCACAUGUGUUGAAAGCCAUCCUAGUUAGACUAUGGGGUAUGGGGCGGGUUGGGGCGUGGGUUGGAGAGAAACGCCCAAGUCGCCACCCCGGGUGGGCUUGGGUUUGGGCGUGGCCCCUUGGGCGGGAGUUUAAGGCCGGGCGUUGGGCAUGCCUAGCGCUCCUAUGUGGCCGGCUCUUAUUGGCUUGUUGGCUAGGGCAUAGCGGGCCAUGUUUAAAUUUUAAAAUAUAACUGUUGGCCAAGCCAAACGGUGAGACCCGUUACUGGCCGGAAGCUUUUGCUAGCUACCGGCACAACGUGGGAACUCCACGUGUCAACCCAUGCCCCAAACCCCCGCCCCACCAUACCCCACGGUCUUAUGCAAGGACUACACUAAUUUUGUAACUCUUGAACACAACUGUUCCUCUAAUUAUCCUACUUGCUAGCAAUAUAAAUAUUGAUUUUAACUAUGUGAUGCUAUUUAUAUGUGAAGGACUUUUUAGAAGAUCUAUUUUAAGGGCCGGGAAAUACAUAGAAAUUGAAUGCCUAAACAAAUGUGGAUCUCAAAUCAGAAGGGAAAAGUGUUUUUUCAUUUCUUUUUUUUUUUUGACAAACAGUGUCAUUGGUUUUCAGGAAUAUAUAAUUCUGAACAUCAACAAGAUAAUUCAUCAACAAACUUCACCCAAACAUUUGAUGUAACACACAAAACAUUAUCUAUUCAUUAAUUUUUAAAUAUAAAUAUUUGUUUUUUUUGUUAUAAGUAGAGGUGCAAACGAGUCGAUUUGAAGGUUGACUUAUAUCUAAUUAUAAGUAUACAAUCUUGAUGUUAAUGGUUGAUUUUGAAGGUUGGUUUAUUUGUCUCAUGAACACCAUGUGUUCGAUGUUAUGCCUGAAUGAAAUAAAAAGGUUUGAAGUAUUGAAAAUUUGUCAUAUUAAUUGCUUAUUUAAUCAGGUAGAAGCUUUCUAUAGCUUCACUAUAGUUAUAUUGAAUCUAAAUAAUAUUUUGUCUAAUUAUAGCUUCAUUCAACUGUAAACUUAAGCAUGUAGCAUUUGUUGUUGGUAAAAGUAUUUGAUUUAAAAGUAUAGGUUCAUUCAUUAUGUAUACUCCGCUGAUUUAUUUGAUUGCUUAAUAAUUACAUAGUCUUUAGACCUUGAAUGCUUUUUGUUUAGAUUCGGUCAUCGUUGAACUGAGGAGCAUCAUCAUUUUUUGUAUAUAUCUUGUGAAAUAGUGCGAAAUAGAUCAACUGGAACCACAAUAUUCAAUAUUCGUUUUAAUGGCGUUUUGUUUGUAUAUAUAUGCGAUGCAAAGAACGUAAUGAGUCUUGAAACACUACUAGAAUACCUUAUUGUGUUGAGUUUAUUUUAUCACUUAUUAAUUAAUUUAGUUUAUUAUUGUCUCAUAUUCAAGGUUGGGAUUACCAAGAUAUUCAACUGCAUAAACCACCCUGCUAUGCUACUGACUCUUUUUCAGUACUUGUAGUAGAAAUAAAAGUUGCUGAGAUAUAAUGGCGAUGAUAGUGCGAUACAACCAAAACAACAUCAGGCCACACCAUCUUUCUGGUGCUUGAGGGGCUUUUCAAGGUCCACCCACCUACAUCGAAGUCCAGGAGCAUGGAUGAAGUACUAUUUGAAGAUUGAAGGGCUUAGGAAGGCCAGUGUGGUGACGGUGUUCGAUGCUGAACUGGUGAAUAAGCAGAGGUCAAUCAAAUCUCAAGCCGAUUUACAUCAGAAUCAUGCGUAUACGUGGAUAAAGGAAGAGAUCUAAACCGCCAGUGAUAUUGUUUGAUCAUACGACAUGAGAAUUAGCCACCGGUUACAAGUUUACUCGCCACCACGACAACACUAAAGGUGGCCACCAGCCCAUGGAUGCAAAUUUGCAUCACUUUCAAGUCCAAAUGCAGCCAGUGAGUAUAGGGACUUGAAGAAAACAUUUUAGAAAUAGUUCUUAGUUUGUGUAUAGUCGUUUUCCUUUGUGUAACUUUUGUAGAUAGGUUUUGAUUAUAAGUUUAUGUUAUUAAUUAGUAUUUAAACCGAAAACUUAUGUAUGGAUUUUGGGUUAUUAUUGUUAAUAUCAUUUGUUUUUUUA